AAAGAGACCGAUCGAUACUUCCUGGCAACAGAUUUCCACUUACAAAACACGAAGAGAUUUCGGGGACCCCUGCCUUGACAACUUUCAAAGAUUCUCUCGUUGGUUCUAAUGAAGCAUGCUGUCUGGUUGGGGAGGCUCAUGUGGCCAGGGACUGAGGCCCUCCUACCAACAGCCCCAAAGGAACCGGCUGAGACCAACAGCCAGUCAAUGAGCUGGGAAGUGGAUCCUUCCCUGCAUGAGCCUUCAGAGGAGACCCCGGAACUGGCUGGCACCUUGCCUGCGGCAUUGUGAGAGGUCGUGAAACAGAGGACCCGCUGAGCAGCACCUGGAGUCCUGACCCACAGAAACGGAGAUCAUAAACCCGUGUUGCUUGAA